rnacentral:rRNA from 1 species
AGUGAACGCUGGCGGUAGGCCUAACACAUGCAAGUCGAACGGCAGCACAGGAGAGCUUGCUCUCUGGGUGGCGAGUGGCGGACGGGUGAGGAAUACAUCGGAAUCUACUCUGUCGUGGGGGAUAACGUAGGGAAACUUUCGCUAAUACCGCAUACGACCUACGGGUGAAAGCAGGGGAUCUUCGGACCUUGCGCGAUUGAAUGAGCCGAUGUCGGAUGAGCUAGAUGGCGGGGUAGAGGCACACCAAGGCGACGAUCCGUAGCUGGGCUGAGAGGAUGAUCAGCCACACUGGGACUGAGACACGGUCCAGACUCCUACGGGAGGCAGCAGUGGGGAAUAUUGGACAAUGGGCGCAAGCCUGAUCCAGCCAUACCGCGUGGGUGAAGAAGGCCUUCGGGUUGUAAAGCCCUUUUGUUGGGAAAGAAAUCCAGCUGGCUAAUACCCGGUGGGGAUGACGGUACCCAAAGAAUAAGCACCGGCUAACUUCGUGCCAGCCGCCGCGGUAA